rnacentral:rRNA from 1 species
GACGAACGCUGGCGGCGUGCCUAAUACAUGCAAGUCGAACGCACAGGCCCUACCUUUGCUGGCUGCACGAUAGGCGAAGAGGUGCGAAACACGUGAGUAACCUGCCCUUACCUUUCUGGUAACUUCAGGAAACUAGGGCUAACACCGGCUAGUACCUCCUGCUGCAUAUUGUUGGUUGGAAAGUUUCGGCGGUUUGGGAUGGACUCGCGGCUUAUGAGCUAUUUGGUGAGGUAGUGGAUUACCAAGGUUUUGACGGGUCGCCGGCCUGGGAGGGUGACCGGGCACAUUGGGACUGGGGUAGGGCCCAGAGUGCUACGGGAGGCAGCGGUGGAAAACAUUGCGCAAUGGGCGGAGGCCUGGUGGAACGUUUUCGCGUGCGGAAUGACGGCUUUCGGGUUAUAAACCGCUUUCGACUGUAACGAAGACAGCGUGACGGUAAUGUGUAAGAAAGCGACGGCUAACUACGUG